UACGGAGGGUGCAAGCGUUAUCCGGAUUCACUGGGCUUAAAGGGUGCGUAGGUGGGCAGGUAAGUCAGGGGUGAAAUCUCCGGGCUUAACCCGGAAACUGCCGUUGAUACUAUUUGUCUUGAAUAUUGUGGAGGUAAGCGGAAUAUGUCAUGUAGCGGUGAAAUGCUUAGAUAUGAGAUAGAACACCAGUUGCGAAGGCAGCUUACUACACAACGAUUGACGCUGAGGCACGAAAGCGUGGGGAUCAAACAGG
rnacentral:rRNA from 1 species